GGUAGUCCACGCUGUAAACGAUGUCGAUUUGGAGGUUGUGCCCUUGAGGCGUGGCUUCCGGAGCUAACGCGUUAAAUCGACCGCCUGGGGAGUACGGCCGCAAGGUUAAAACUCAAAUGAAUUGACGGGGGCCCGCACAAGCGGUGGAGCAUGUGGUUUAAUUCGAUGCAACGCGAAGAACCUUACCUACUCUUGACAUCCAGAGAACUUUCCAGAGAUGGAUUGGUGCCUUCGGGAACUCUGAGACAGGUGCUGCAUGGCUGUCGUCAGCUCGUGUUGUGAAAUGUUGGGUUAAGUCCCGCAACGAGCGCAACCCUUAUCCUUUGUUGCCAGCGGUUCGGCCGGGAACUCAAAGGAGACUGCCAGUGAUAAACUGGAGGAAGGUGGGGAUGACGUCAAGUCAUCAUGGCCCUUACGAGUAGGGCUACACACGUGCUACAAUGGCAUAUACAAAGAGAAGCGACCUCGCGAGAGCAAGCGGACCUCAUAAAGUAUGUCGUAGUCCGGAUUGGAGUCUGCAACUCGACUCCAUGAAGUCGGAAUCGCUAGUAAUCGUAGAUCAGAAUGCUACGGUGAAUACGUUCCCGGGCCUUGUACACACCGCCCGUCACACCAUGGGAGUGGGUUGCAAAAGAAGUAGGUAGCUUAACCUUCGGGAGGGCGCUUACCACUUUGUGAUUC
rnacentral:rRNA from 1 species